GCGCUUGGAGGGCGGCCGGAGCUGGGCCUGAGCCUGGGGACUCGCCUGAUCCCGGGCGGCCAUCACCAUCACCACAACCGCCCCACCCCCGCCGUCGCCUCGUGGGGCCCCGGCCCCCUCCCGGGUCCGAUGUGUUCCAGGGUGGGCCAGAAGAAGAGAAAAGAGAAAAGACAGCUUGAUGGUGACUAACAAGAAACUGUAGCCUGGGCUAGUACUAAAAGGAAAGCUACCUCUGCCGAACUCCACUUUGCCCCAGCUUCAGGGUAUUUUGUCUUGAGAUACAGGACAAUGCAGAUGACUUUCAAAGCCCAGAUGCGUUGCCUUCUCUCCUCAGACAUGGUGAGAUGUACUCUGAUCUAGAGCAGGCAGCUGGCCAGAGACCCACAGGGAGCUCAGUGAUUGGCCUCAGAUGACCUUGAGGACAAAGAUUGUCCCUUGAAGGGAAGUGAUGGCACAGGCUCUGAUCAGCUCUUCUGGGAACAGACAGAGAAGUGGGAAUUCCUGCCAAAGCCACAGGAUGAAUACAGCGCCAAGAACCUGAACCAGAAAAAUGCAGCAGGAAAGGAAACUGCAGUAGCCACCAUCCUGAGGCUGCUGUACAAGGAGCAUUCCUGAGA
rnacentral:lncRNA from 1 species